rnacentral:lncRNA from 1 species
CCUUCCUGCGCGCCGUUCCCCGCUAGUCGCUGCUGCUGGCGCGCACUCGCCGGGUUUUUCCUCCCACGGCCUCGAGAUGGUGGUGAAUGUGGCACGGAGGAGCCGGGCCUUCCAACCCGGUGGGCCCGAGCUCCGAAAGGCCCCCUCGGCAGUGAGAGGGGCGGGAGCCCGCGGGGGCCGCGCCCUUCUCUCGCUUCGGACUGCGCAACGCUGCGCUCUGGGCUGACAGGCGGAUAAAACGGUCCCAUCAAGACUGAGAAAAAGCACACCAGCUAUUGGCACAGCGUGGGCAGUGGGGCCUACAGGAUGACUGACUUAGUCUACAGAGAUCCCGGCGUACUUAAGCAGGUAGUAAUGAUGGACAGGUGAGGCUUUAGGCGGCCGCCCUGGGAUCUGAAUUGCCCCUUGGCCCUUAUCGAAGCUGCAGCUGCUUCCGCAUAGCUGCUGUGGUCAAAAAGGAGCCCAGAGUGACAGUUUUCCUUGACGGUCGCCGUUCUGUUUGUUGUAACUGAUCUGCAACAUUUUGGGAAAAUACAGUUCCAUUGUACCUGCCACCUUUCAGCUGUAGCCAGAGACCUUUAUCAAAAUGGGCUUGUUUCCACAGAACAGCAGAACGGUUGGGGGUUUGCAUGUACAGUUAACCAGCAUAAGACUCGUACUGGGAAAAUCCAGCUGGGAUGUGACACAGCUUAACUGAUAGCUUAAGGCAUCAGUAUUGGGACCAAAGGCUGGUCAGAUUUGUAUCAUUCUGAGGACCAAAUGAUGGGAACAAUAAAAUUGUUCAUGACAGUUGUUCUCAUUUUGCUGUCCAGAUGAAGACUCUUAAGAUGACAGAAGGUGAUUUUUCUGGUGAUCGAGGACUUCCGGGGUAAUGACAGUGAUGAAAUGCAGGGGACCUGGUUGCCCCCAAGUUUCCUGGCAGUGUGUGAUACUGAGGAGGUGAGCUUGUUUCUGGAGCUGUGCUUUAAGAUUCAUGUUACAUGUAAAGCUGUCCUCAUUUGUGACUAUGGACCUAUGGAGUUGGGACAAUCUCUAUGGGAAGCAGAAGGCAAGGACCCCGGUCAUUUUAGGUAGAAACAACAGCAUGCUAAUGCAAAAAAUUAUGCAGUGUGCUACUGAACUUCAGAGGUGAUCAAUAAAAGAAGAAUAAAAAGACUAAUAAAAGUA